rnacentral:rRNA from 1 species
GAACGAGAAAGUGGCUUCGGCCAUGAGUAAAGUGGCGGACGGGUGCGUAACACGUGGGUAAUCUGCCCUUCGGCGGGGGACAACAGUCCGAAAGGAUUGCUAAUACCGCAUACGACGGCAGGGUCUUCGGACCUUGUCGGGAAAGACGGCCUCUCCAUGGAAGCUGUCACCGAAGGAUGAGCCCGCGGCCCAUCAGCUAGUUGGUGAGGUAAUGGCUCACCAAGGCUUAGACGGGUAGCUGGUCUGAGAGGAUGAUCAGCCACACUGGGACUGAGACACGGCCCAGACUCCUACGGGAGGCAGCAGUGGGGAAUAUUGGGCAAUGGGCGCAAGCCUGACCCAGCCACGCCGCGUGAGUGAUGAAGGCCUUCGGGUCGUANAGCUCUGUGGGGAGGGACGAAAAACCCUGUUCUAAUCACCGGGGAAUUGACGGUACCUCCUUAGCAAGCACCGGCUAACUCCGUG